AUGCCAGUCUUUAUCAGAGUUGGAGAAUCCGAUCUAUAUAUCUACCUAGUUCUGCUCCAAGAACUAGCAGGACCUAACUACCGUGUGCGGAUAUAGACCUUAUAUAUGCUUGGACCAAAGUAAUGGGAUUUGGAUAUUUACCAUAUAAUAUUAUUUAGACCAAAGUUUGAUUAGGAUGUUUGAGCUACUUCUUGUUUUGCUCACUGGUGACUUUGAUUUGUUUGCCAUAGGGCUAAUCACGCAACCACAUUUUCAAGAAAGUUUUACAUUUUUGGUGAAAGAGAUGCAAUAACCAUGCUUAGCGUGCAGGUUUAUGUCACUUCCAAUCUUUAUCACAGUUCAGGGAAGCAUUUACUUUUUGUCCCAUGUGCAAAGUUCAAUCUUUAUCACACUUGAAGAAGCAUCUACUUGUGCUGUCAUAUGGAAUAUGCAUGAACCAGACAACUUGAGAGUAACUAUACAUAUAUAGAGCCCAAGACUUGAGUAACUAUGCAUCUCAAGCUCAACUAUGUGCUGUUUGAAAUUACAGGUUCGUAUCACUUCAAUUUUAUUAUCAUCACACUUGAAGAAGCAUCUCCAUGUGCUGCCAUAUUAAUGAAUCCGACAACUUGAGAGUAACUAUACAUAGAGGCCCAUGACUUGAGAGUAACUAUGCAUGUAUGCAUCACAUGCUCAACUAUGUGCUGUUUGAUGGUGAUCCCAGCGUAUUGUUAACGCUAUGUCUUCCUCAUCCCCCAAUCCAGAGUUAGCUUGUAUCCUUGAUGAAUUCAAACCUAUUCUCAAUUCA